GGGUUCGUGGCCUAAUGGUAAGGCGUCAGAUUUCGGCUUGACUAGUUUCAAAUACCGGUCCUCUGAAGAUUGCAGGUUCGAUCCCUGCCGAGCUCG